GUGGAACUGUUAAUCACUAUUUGUAGUGAUUAAAGACUGGACGUAGAUUCUGUUGAAUCGAACCAGUAUAAAAAUAUCUGUGUGAUUUUUCUACUCCCUACACUUAUUUUAUUUAACGCACAUCAACUGUUUGGUUAAUUUUCUGAAAGAAAAUUACUUUUGUAAAAAAGGCCAAAAUCGUUUCAACUGUGACCUAAUGCGCUUUACGCCCUCUGUGUUUUAAUUCCGCUGCGUUAUACUCUUCGAAAAUUACCCCCUCUGAUACCGUCAAACCAAGAGUGAAUUAAGAGACAAAGAAAAUCUGCAUCUUGGUCAUUGAAAUGCUCCAAACCGAAAACACCAAGCAAGCUCCCUUAAGGCAUGUUCAUACAUGAAACCCUAGGAGAGAAAAGUUCUAAAACCAAGAGUAUGAAGUGUUGCAAUGUGUGGC
rnacentral:lncRNA from 1 species